rnacentral:miRNA from 1 species
GGUGGGAUGGAGAGAAGGUAUGAG